UCUCUGGAGGACUACUGGUUAGGCCAUGGCGCUCUCACUGCUGCAGCCUGGGUUCGAUUCCCGGCCAGGGAA
rnacentral:tRNA from 1 species